AAUUUUGGACAAUGGGCGAAAGCGUGAUCCAGCAAUGCCGCGUGCAGGAUGAAGGCCUUCGGGUUGUAAACUGCUUUUGUACGGAACGAAAAGCUUUGGGUUAAUACCCUGGAGGCAUGACGGUACCGUAAGAAUAAGCAUCGGCUAACUACGUGCAAGCAGCCGCGGUAAUACGUAGGGUGCAAGAGUUAACCGGAAUUACUGGGCGUAAAGCGUGCGCUGGCGGUUUUGUAAGACAGAGGUGAAACCCCCGGGCUCAACCUGGGAACUGCCUUUGUGACUGCAAGGAUAGAAUACGGCAGAGCGGGGUGGAAUUCCGCGUGUAGCAGUGAAAUGCGUAGAUAUGCGGAGGAACACCGAUGGCGAAGGCAACCCCCUGGGCCUGUACUGACGCUCAUGCACGAAAGCGUGGGGAGCAAACA
rnacentral:rRNA from 1 species